AGUGAACGCUGGCGGUAGGCCUAACACAUGCCAGUCGAACGGCGGCACAGUAAGAGCUUGCUCUUACGGGUGGCGAGUGGCGGACGGGUGAGGAAUACAUCGGAAUCUUCUUUUUCGUGGGGGAUAACGUAGGGAAACUUACGCUAAUACCGCAUACGACCUACGGGUGAAAGCAGGGGAUCUUCGGACCUUGCGCGAUUGAAUGAGCCGAUGUCGGAUUAGCUAGUUGGCGGGGUAAAGGCCCACCAAGGCGACGAUCCGUAGCUGGUCUGAGAGGAUGAUCAGCCACACUGGAACUGAGACACGGUCCAGACUCCUACGGGAGGCAGCAGUGGGGAAUAUUGGACAAUGGGCGCAAGCCUGAUCCAGCCAUACCGCGUGGGUGAAGAAGGCCUUCGGGUUGUAAAGCCCUUUUGUUGGGAAAGAAAAGCAGCAGGUUAAUACCCCGCUGUUCUGACGGUACCCAAAGAAUAAGCACCGGCUAACUUCGUG
rnacentral:rRNA from 1 species